rnacentral:tRNA from 1 species
AGGGGCGUCGUUCAACGGCAGGACGACGGUCUCCAAAACCGUUAAUGGAGGUCCGAUUCCUCCCGCCCCUG